rnacentral:sRNA from 1 species
AGCACUUUUCUCAGAACUAGCGAGACGGGCAUUGUGGAUCAGGUUAUGGUAACUCUCAACCAGGAAGGAUAUAAAUUUUGUAAAAUAAGGGUGAGUACAACUUUGUUCAUGUAGCUAAUUUUAGAAAGUAAACCAAAUCCACUUAACUAACUUAUUUUUAUAUGAAUUUAGGUACGCUCUGUUAGGAUUCCACAGAUUGGAGACAAAUUUGCUAGUCGACAUGGUCAAAAGGGUACUUGUGGUAUUCAGUAUAGACAAGAGGAUAUGCCUUUCACCUGUGAAGGUAUCACCCCUGAUAUCAUCAUCAAUCCCCAUGCCAUCCCCUCUCGUAUGACUAUUGGUCACUUAAUUGAAUGCCUUCAAGGGAAGGUAUCGGCUAACAAGGGUGAAAUUGGUGAUGCCACUCCAUUUAAUGAUGCUGUUAACGUGCAGAAGAUUUCUAAUCU